rnacentral:rRNA from 1 species
GUAGUUUCGAUCCGUGGCUACGAGGACGACGCUGGCGGCGUGCCUAACACAUGCAAGUCGAGCGAGUGGAGUUCUUCGGAACAAAGCUAGCGGCGGACGGGUGGGUAACACGUGGGCAACCUGCCUCAUAGAGGGGAAUAGCCUUCCGAAAGGGAGAUUAAUACCGCAUAAGAUUGUAGCUUCGCAUGAAGUAGCAAUUAAAGGAGCAAUCCGCUAUGAGAUGGGCCCGCGGCGCAUUAGCUAGUUGGUGAGGUAACGGCUCACCAAGGCGACGAUGCGUAGCCGACCUGAGAGGGUGAUCGGCCACAUUGGGACUGAGACACGGCCCAGACUCCUACGGGAGGCAGCAGUGGGGAAUAUUGCACAAUGGGGGAAACCCUGAUGCAGCAACGCCGCGUGAGUGAUGACGGCCUUCGGGUUGUUAAAGCUCUGUCUUCAGGGACGAUAAUGACGGUACCUGAGGAGGAAGCCACGGCUAACUACGUA